rnacentral:rRNA from 1 species
UUUGUAGUCAUACGCUCGUCUCAAAGAUUAAGCCAUGCAUGUGUAAGUAUAAAUAGUUAACUUUGAAACUGCGAAUGGCUCAUUAUAUCAGUUAUAGUUUAUUUGAUGAAGAAUACUAAUUGGAUAACCGUAGUAAUUCUAGAGCUAAUACAUGUAUAAAGUCUUGUAGACUGCAUUUAUUAGAAUGAAAACCAUAGGUUUCGGCCUAUUCGUGAGUAAUAAUAACUAAUCAUAUCGUAUGCUUAUGUAACGAUGUGUCUUUCAAGUUUCUGCCCUAUCAGCUUUCGAUGGUAGUGUAUUGGACUACCAUGGCAGUAACGGGUAACGAAGAA